GGAACCUAAAAGAUCAGCAACCAUUCUAGGAUCAGACAAUGAGGAAUGAUGCGACUAGUGAUAUUCAAUUUAUGAUCUCACUGUCAAGGUAAAGCUUCAUAUUCAAUCAGUUUGCAGUCCCUUUGAUGGUUGACUUGUUAAUUUUGUUAAUGCAGGAUGCUAAUGGCAACGAUGUGGAUCUUAGUGUGUACAAGGGGAAUGUUCUACUUAUUGUCAAUGCUUCCAAAUGUAUGUGUUCCGAAAGCUUGCUUCACCUAUUCUCAGUCAAUAUUGGAAAACUCAAUUGCGCCAAAUCUUUGACAGCAGAUACUAUUUAAUUGAUUAUCUUACAAUGUCCUUUCCAGUUUCCAUCCCUGCAAGAAUUAAGUCCAAUUCAGGUAUAUCUCUUUUGCCCACAAAAGGUCUAGCAGCAUCUCUGUUUGCUGCAUGAAAUUGAUCUUUGAUAGUAUAUUAGUCUUCUAAUUGCAUAAGGGAAACAACAUUCGAGUUGUUUGAGCAUCAAUCAUGGAAACUUUUGUUUUAAGAUUCAUUCAUGGAAGUUUAGACAUUAUCUUAUAAGGAAGAUAACAAUUCUUUUCAUCUUACCCUUCUGAAUGACCCGUUAUCUACUAUAUCACAUGUUCAGAACUUAAGUUAGCAAUAAUUUUUUUUUCUUUUCCUUAUUAUGUAUGUCCUUGGAUCAUCUGUGGUGAAACAUUUGAAUGUGGUGUUAAGUUGUGCUUAUUAGCUUGGUUGGUCAUCUAGAAACUGGACAAAUAUCUAUUUAAUACUUUGACUGGUUUUUAGUGCCUUCACUUUCAUUUUCACAAUGGAACCCACAUCAAUGCAUCAGGGGACUCUGUGUGUGUGUGUGCGCGCGCGCGCGUAAGAAAGUAGGCAGCUUAAAAAUCUUUACGUUUUGUUACAAUAUGUAACAUGCUUGUUGGAUUGAAUUGUCUUUAAGAUCUGGUUUUGGAGCAAACCAAAUAUGGGUUUCCACUCUUCUACUCCGCUAGAAAUCUUUGCCAGAAAACCCAGAAAAUCAUGGAGAUGUUCAUAGAUUGAUUGAAAACCUAGAAAGUAAAAGCCAGACAACUAUUCGACUGUCAGUUCGUCUUACCGAGUUACUGACGAGGAGAGCGAGGGCCGUCGACGCCUCGAUGGUCGAAGAGAGGGGCUGAGAUGGAGAGGCCCAUGGAGAGAGAAAGAAGAGACGGCCACUGCAAUCUGUAUUUUGGGGGUGAUAAGGAUGGUCUGUGUCUUCGGAUCUCGUCCUUGCUGAUUGGGAGCUCCGGCUUCGGCUUCAAACUAGAGAACGGUCAGAGGCGGACAAGGAGGAGAAGAGCGGUCGGAGCCGGAGAAGAAGGAGGAGAACGGUCGGAGGCAGAGAAGGAGGAAGAGGAUGUCGGUUGCUGGACGGCUGUCGGGGUGGUUAGGGUUUGGGAAUGAAAAUUGACGAAGUGUAGGAAAACAUAGUCAUGGGAAAACUGACUAAGCGUUGGGGGGAAUGAAAUUUUGGUUCCGUGCUUCCAAAAUUUUGUACUUAGUAAUUUCCGCGUUUUUUUUUUUUAAUUUUGAAAAAAAAGGUAGAUAUCGGUCAAAUAUAAAAAACGAUGUUAAUUGUAUGUAUAGAAAUCGGUUUUUCAGGAACUGAUGUUAGAAAAACAAUUUAUAUCGGGUGAAAUCUUAACUGAUGUAAAUGACAUGAUGUCUAUUAACAUUAUUCUAGUAGUGGUUGGGAUAAUUGGCUAGUAGAAUAUGUUGUAGUUUCAGCUGUUGUUUAGUCCAAUGUAUAAUUCUUAGUAUAUAGCCUAUUCACUCAUCUCUGCAUUAUUAUAUGCAGGUUCUUACCCUGCGAGAAACUCAAUUGUUCUUACCGAGGGUAAACAAAAGGAUGUACUUAAAGCUGCUGGUGCAUUGUUUUCACAUAUUUGUGAGGUUUAGACAGGGUUAAUGUGCAUCACAUUUAUUAUGGACAAGUAUCGUGGGUGUUAAUGCUGGGAUAGAAUGACUUUGUUGGAUAUAUGGAUGAAUGUAUCGAACCUUUACAUAAAAAAUGUGUUUUGGGUUGUCAUUUGGAUCCUAUAUAUGCAGAAUGUAGGUCUUUUGAAUGUC